GCGUAGAUACCCUGUUGCUUUGGCGGGCCCACCGGGGCCACCUGGUCGCCGGGGGACAUCUGUCCCCGGGCCCGCGCCCGCCGAAGCGCUCUGUGAACCCUGAUGAAGAUGGGCUGUCUGAGUACUAUGAAAAUUGUCAAAACUUUCAACAAUGGAUCUCUUGGUUCCGGCAUCGAUGAAGAACGCAGCGAAAUGCGAUAAGUAAUGUGAAUUGCAGAAUUCCGUGAAUCAUCGAAUCUUUGAACGCACAUUGCGCCCCCUGGCAUUCCGGGGGGCAUGCCUGUCCGAGCGUCAUUUCUGCCCUCAAGCACGGCUUGUGUGUUGGGUGCGGUCCCCCCGGGGACCUGCCCGAAAGGCAGCGGCGACGUCCGUCUGGUCCUCGAGCGUAUGGGGCUUUGUCACUCGCUCGGGAAGGACUGGCGGGGGUUGGUCACCACCAAAAUUUUACCACGGUUGACCUCGGAUCAGGUAGGAGUUACCCGCUGAACUUAAGCAUAUCAAUA
rnacentral:rRNA from 1 species